GUUAAAAAGCUCGUAGUCGGAUUUUGGCUGAGAACGGUCGGUCCGCCGUUAGGUGUGCACUGACUGGUCUCAGCUUCCUGGUGAGGAGGUGUGCUUUAUCGCCACUUAGUCACCGUGGUUACUUUGAAAAAAUUAGAGUGUUCAAAGCGGGCUUACGCUUGAAUAUAUUAGCAUGGAAUAACACCAUAGGACUCCUGUCCUAUUUCGUUGGUCUCGGGACGGGAGUAAUGAUUAAGAGGAACAGUUGGGGGCAUUCGUAUUUCAUUGUCAGAGGUGAAAUUCUUGGAUUUAUGAAAGACGAACUUCUGCGAAAGCAUUUGCCAAGGAUGUUUUCAUUGAUCAAGAACGAAAGUUGGGGGCUCGAAGAUGAUUAGAUACCAUCCUAGUCUCAACCAUAAACGAUGCCGACUAGGGAUUGGCGGAUGUUAAUUGAUGACUUCGCCAGCACCUUAUGAGAAAUCAAAGUUUUUGGGUUCCGGGGGGAGUAUGGUCGCAAGGCUGAGACUUAAAGGAAUUGACGGAAGGGCACCACCAGGCGUGGAGCCUGCGGCUUAAUUUGACUCAACACGGGGAAACUUACCAGGUCCAGAUAUAGUAAGGAUUGACAGAUUGAGAGCUCUUUCUUGAUUCUAUGGGUGGUGGUGCAUGG
rnacentral:rRNA from 1 species